rnacentral:lncRNA from 1 species
AUGUUAUUUCACAGGUGUCUGGAGAGGGUAUAGGAUGGUAGAGUCAUAGAGGGGUUAUUUCCGAUAGACAGUCAGAACCAAGACUCUCUUAACUUACUAUGGUCAAGUAAUUAAAUGAAUGAAGUAGGAUUAUAUAUAAAUGAACCUUGGUCAAAUGAUAAAUUUUAUGUAAAUAAUCAUGGACUUAUUAAGUUGAUGCUAAUACUUGGUGCUGAUAAGUAUUUUUCCUCUAAUAAUGCUACAUGAUAGCAAUCAUAUUCGUAUAUGUAUGUUCUCCAAAGACAGUUACCAAAUUGUAUGUAAACAAUUUCGCCUACACUAACUGUAAUUAUUCAGAUGAUCAGGGCAUGAAGCGGUAUAAGCUUUUGAAACUUAAAUUGUAGUAUUCUUACAUGUUAAAAGUCCUUGUUAGAAACUUCAACGUUACACGAUUAAUCAUUAUAGGAAGAUGCUGGCACCAAGGACAGAGUAUGUAGAAGCUCGACACGGAGAAGAGGUUCCACCUGAAGAUGGACUUAAUUGGAGGAAAUAUGGACAGAAACUUAUCUUAGGUGCAAAAUAUCCCAGGUGAGUACUAUUCUUAAGUUCCUUGACCAAAAAUCUGAAUAUCUAUUUCAUGAAUGAAUUGACCAAAAGGUUGUAUGAUACUACAAUAUCCGGGAAUUCCGUGGUUAACUGAUAGGGAUUAUCUUCUUUUGGAAAUGCAGAGAAUAUUUUCAAUGUGUUUGUCGUCAUUGUGAUGCUACUAAGAUGGUCCAGCGAAUCCAGACAGAGCCAUUAACUUUUGAAGUUACCUAUGGGGAAAGUCACAGUUGUGGUCAAGAAAACAAAAACCGAAAUGAAGAACUACUAGUUGCUGUGGGAACUCAAGUUGGAAGAGCAGCAGGGAAACUAUCUGAAUGUUACAUUCCUGAGAUGGUUACCCCAAAUAAUUCUAAAACGAAAUAUCCAUCUGAUAUUACAUACGAUACUAUCCUACAGUUAUUCUCAGACCAACCAAGUUAUAUUCAUUUAUAAUCAAGUCAAUUUUAUUAACUCAAAGACAAAGUGACCAAAUCUCCAUUUACUGAAAUUGGAGUAGAACUUCUAAAUUAUAGAUGUUUGUACGUCCAUGAAUAUACAAGCUAAAGGUAGAUAUUCUUAAUUGGGAAAAGAAACUUGUAUUCCAAAAAGAGAAACUAUUUACAAGCGGCUACUCCUUUACUUUCACACCCCUCUAUUUUUAACUACUAAUUCACAUUUACAGUAUAUACCUUGAUGGUAUCAAAGAGGAAGAAAUAGUGAUUCAGUGAAAACAUUAUUCAAUUACUCCUUGAUACUAUUUGAGUAUAUAUAGCUCUGAUGGCUCAAUUACUGCUUGAUAUGAUAGAUAACAUUAUAGUAUAGAAGGUUCAAUAUCUCCCAUAAAGCAAAUUAUGAUGACUAAGAAGGGAGAUAAGGGUCUAUUUUGGUGAAAAGACAAAACAGUCCCUACAAAGGCCUUGAUAGUCAACUAAUGCAACAUGUGUUGACUCUAUCAAUAACUACAUACAUUUGUUAUGGACAGGGAGACUUGUAAACAAGUCUUCAAACUACUAAUUUAUAUACAACUAGCAAAUUACUUUUUCUCAAAUUCAUAUUCAGAUCUGUUUAUUGUUUUGGCUAUAGCUUUGUUUGAGCAUAGUCAGUCUGUUUGGUGACUCUGUAUAGCUGCGAAAAAAAUGGGAGAAAACAAUUUUUGGGAGAGAGAAAUAGUGAUUGCUGAGCUAACCAAGGGGAAGGAAUUGAUGUUGCAGCUGCAGAAGCACUUUGAUCCCAUGAAACAGUUAGUGUGCCAGUAUUUGGCUGUGGAAAUACUUUCUUCCUAUGAUAAAGCUAUGUCCCUCUUGAAUGGCACAGCUUUAUCAGGUAUGAUGAAGAGCAAAGGUAAAGAGAUUAUUCAUCCAGCACCGUCUUCAUCAACUGCGCCCCAGCUGGAAUCUCCUCAUCUUCUGGCUGACAGUAGCACAAAGAGUUGUGACCGUCCCUCUAACUACAGGAAGAGGUAUUCAAUCUCAUCCCUGUCUCUUUUUUUGUUUUGUUUUGUUCAACCAUCUGGUGUUCAGAACCUAUUUAUCGUCUAAUCGGAAUUCACAUAGAAAGUCCACCAUGGGAUUUUAGUGGUAUUUACCUAAUAGGACUACUUGUUCAGGACUCGAGACUCUGGUUAUAGUGAAAGAACUUUUCCUAUUCUACUUCAUCCCUUUAUGGUAUUUUCAUCCCUCACUUAUAACUGAAUUGGAGUACAAAAUUUAAUGUGAAUUGAAGUGAUACGUGCUACAUUAAGCUUAGAUCUUUAGAACAUUAAGAGUGUCGUGAAUCGCUUUAUAUCUUAGUGGUAUAUUGAAUGCUUUGAAAAAUCUAGAUUUCCUGGUCCUGAGAAGUGGUACCUAACUAGCCUCUCUCCACUUACUACAACAACAUAUCCGAAGGGUAAGAUGUAAGCAGACAUUACCCCUACCUCUAUGAGGUUGAGAUGAUGUUUUUGAUAGACCCUCGAUGCCAAAACUCUCUUAACUAGCUAUGGUUAAGUAAUAAAAUGAAGUAGGAUUAUAUAUGAAUGAACCUCGAUCAAGUGAUAAAAUGAGCAGAGACUUAUUGGUUUGAUGCUAGUACUUGGUGCCGAUAAAUACUUUUUCUCUAAUAAUGCUACAUGAUAGUAAUUAUAUUUGAAUAUGUAUGUUCUCCAAAGAGAAAGUUACCAAAUUGUAUGUAAACAAUUUCGCCUAGCCUAACUGUAAUUUACUCAGAUGAUCAGGGCAUGAAGCGGAUAAGUUUUAGAAACUCAAAUUGUAGUAUUCUUAUACGUGUUAAAGGUCCUUGUUAGAAACUUCAACGUUACACGAUUAAUCAUUAUAGGAAGAUGCUGGC